UAUUUCAAACGUUUUAUUUUUAAACACGUCAUCAUAACUAUCGAUUGCAUCGAUCAAACCAGGAUAUGUUUUAAUGGCGGAUAAUGCAAUUGUAUCGUCGCAUUCAGGAAAGUGAUACAUAUUAAACUAGAGAGCGAGAUUUUAUGGGAGCAUAUUCGAUAAGCAAUAUCACGUUUAUGCUGUACUAUUAUUACACAAGCAAAUGUCUAUUUAUCUAGCGCUUUCACUAAAUUCAUCUGUUCGUGUUUUGCAAUGUCUGUUUGAUUAAUAUUGAGAGAGAGAGGUCACUGCAUUCAUCCUUCAAUUACUUCCUAUUAUUCUCGAUAUAACGCUAUUCGAUGAGCUUCGAUUGCGCAGACGCCUCUUUCUGUUUGAAUUUCGCACUACAGAAUAAGUACUUCUACACUAAAGUACAGCAUGAAACUGUGGUCUUGUCUAUGAAUGGAUUGCUACUAAUAGCUACUUCGAUACAACUGCUAAUAUUUAUCUAUCAUUGUUUUAGAACGCUUAAAAUUGCCAAAUGACUAAAAUGCAACGGAGAAGCUGUUGCAUGUCGAUCGGCAGUUUAUUCGACAUUUCAUAUAUUAGUAGUAUAUUCGAAGGACCUAUGCCCGUCUAAACAAUAUACUAAAGUUAUACUAAAAAGUUACAAUGAAAAUAAUUACUCUACUGCAUCGGACCACCCGUUUCGAGUAUGGUGAAAAUAAAUGUAAGAACAUCGUGGUGUGUUUCGCUACCGACAAAUCCUUUUCCGUAGACGAAACAAUCGAAACAAUGCGCCCCCUCAUCGGGAAAGCCUCGCAUUGCGUGUGGAAAAUGCAAGGGAGGUUACAAAGGGAGUUAAUAACGUUAAUUGAUAUGCUACACAUACCAUGCUUGUUCUCACGCUGCUAUAUAAUCAUGAGCUUCACCUUCAUCAAAUUAGUCAUCAUCCGUAACACAUGUCGGGGGAUAUUUCUAUCCGACACUUUGCGAUUGCUGACUGGUACACCUCAAUUUAACUGAACAUGAAAAUCGUUAGGAUCCUUGACAACGGAAAAGAACGUUGCAUAUACAAAUUUGAUGUAAAUUUAUAAUAUUUCUGAAAUUAUAUGCGGGAUGGUCUACUUAUAUCAAGCAUCUUAAAUUUCUCACUUGUUUUUGAUGAUAUGUAAGAAAAAAGUUGCACCGUUCAAGGGGACAAUUUGGUGACAGAAAAAGUUUUUUUUUUCAAGAUCAUUUUUCGGAGAUUUGAAGAUUGAGAUAAUUUUUUCAAUACAACUACUUUUUUUGUUUGCACGCUUUUAUACCCAACAUCGAAAAGAGUUUAACGACUUAAUAAUAUGAUCUUUAAAUGAUCUUGAACAUGGGAAAUUACAUAUGUUUAGAGGAAAUACGAAAGUCAAAUAUUUAAGUUUUUUAAUAUAAAGAUUUGCUUAAGGAGGUGUUGAAAAUGAUGCCCUCUUUAAUACAUUUUUAAAUACGAUACAUAAAUAAUACUCUUGCUCUUUCUAUCAUUUUUAAAUCUGUAAUUGCACAUGCGUCCAUAAUGUGCUGUAUCGUGUUCCUGGUACAUCGUUGUAUACAAUGUUUUUCAACAUUCCCCACAAAAUGUCUGGAGGGUUCUAAAUCAGUAGAACGUGCAGACCAAGGGUGUAUCCACCUCUUUCCCCUUCCCCUAUUCCGUAUUUCAAAAACAUUUCGUGUAAAACUAUAUGUGGAAUGUGUGUUUUAAAAGCCAGACAACCAUCAUAUUAGAGACAGGUACCACAUUUGUAAAUAAAUUUCUAACGUUUAUAUGUGUUUCUAUGUUUACAAAUACAAUAUAGAUGGGAUGUUCCACAUUGAGUUCACGAAAAAUGCAUGACAUCAAACAUAUAUAUCUAUUAUUGCGAUGUAAUAAUUGUCCAGCUCAUGUCUACAAGUAUAAUAAUCCUUAACGUGUGUAGUCCAAUAAAAAUAGUUGAAAUCAAUGUUUGCGUGUGUGAUAAUAUGAGAAUAACAUAUAUUACCACAUUUUGACGGCUUGUAUUUCGCUUUAAUCACAAUUGUGUGUCAAAUCAGUACGUACUGUGUAUGUCAACUCACCAUGUAAUGUACUUUCUGCUGGUCCAAAGCAGACUGACUCCUAUAGAUAGCAGAAAAAUGCAAAUUGCGCUUGAGCCUGCGUAAACUGGGGGACAAAGGCCAUACACUCUCUAAUAUUUCUUUAAUACGCGGCAAUUUAGUUAUUUCUCAAAAAAUGCUUUUAUUACGACACAUAUUACUGCCUAAGUGGAUCGAUAGAACUGUCCCAUCCUUCGUUUUCCACCGUGAAAUUGCAGAAAAUUACUAAAUGACAUUGCGUAUAUUGUCGCUUGUCAACCGUAGCGUCGGCGUUCGUGAAAAAAGAAUAUGUUAGAAGAAAAGACCUUUGGAAUGUUCUAUAUAAAGUCAGUCGUACACGAACAAAUCUUAUCGAGAAAGCCGUUUUAUCCAUCGCGCAAGAUGGCCCUCACUGGUGAACGUUAUUAUAACAUUUAUCGAAUUGUGUUAACGACAAUCGGCUUGUGGCCGGAUCAGAACGUUUCGCGAAUACAAACGGGCUUUUUUUUCAUCGUAUAUUUUUCUAUUAUAUUUUUUCAGGUAUCUCUUAUUUCUUUGACAAAUUGUGUUUGUAUCGCAACUUCUAACGAAAAAUAAUAUCUUUACUGUCAAUGUUAUUUAAAAUUUUCCUAGUUAACGACAUUCCUGACGACAACGACUUUAAACCUGAUGUUUAUCAUUAAGUACCUCUCAUAUUUUUUACCUUUUCUUAUUUACACCGUAAAUUAUAAUUCUUUUUAUUUCAACGUUAAAGCGAUCGGGCAAGCUUUGGAACACAUCAGAAUGGUCUGGAGCACGCUUACAGACAACGAUGAAAUAGAAAUACUGACUAAAUACACGUACAUAGCUUACAUUGUGUCACUGAUUGUGUACAUUAUCCUCAGUGUCGCGGUAUUUGGAUUCAUAUUGUUCGAAUGUUCACCCGUUAUCUUCGACGUCCUAGCGCCGAUGAAUGUGUCUCGACCGCGUACGAUCGAAAUACCCUUCGAAUUCUUCCUCGAUGUGGAUCAAUAUUUCUUUAUCUACAUAGCAUACGAGAUUCUAGUAACGGUGAUUGGACUCACUGCAAUGGUCGGCACCGGUACAUUAUUGCUUGCGAUCGGGACGCACAGUUGUGCGGAAUUUAAGAUUGCCAGGUUUCUUAACGAUAUGUUGAAUGGUUUUAAUGUAUGGUAUUUUUUUCUGAUUAUGAUCGGCGUAACGUCUUUAAGUUGCAACCUCUUUCGAUUACUUAAUGCGGUAAUACAAUUCAACAAUGUCCAUGAAUUAUUUACAUGCAUCAUGAUGUUUCUUGGUCAUAUAAUAUAUAUGUUUAUGGCGAAUUUAUGCGGACAAGCAAUUAUCGAUCACAGCACGGAGAUGUUGAAUGCGACAUAUAACACACUAUGGUAUGCAGCUCCGUUACCGAUUCAGAAAUUGUUAUUGCUCUUACAAAAAUCCGCGACGAACCAAAAGCUUAUGAUCGGUAGCAUCUUUGUCGCAUCGUUAGAAGGGUUCUCUACGCUCGUUACUUCAUCGAUCUCGUACUUUACCGUAAUGUACACCAUGAUGACGAAGAAUUAAAGAGAAUAGUCAGUCAUUCGCGAAUGGCAUAGAAGUGAACGCUUAAUCACAUGUAGAAACAGUCGUGCCGACUCAAGCAAGUAAUUAAAGCUCAUUAGUAAAUAUCUACUAUUAUUACUGGUUUCUCUUGCACUCAUCAUUAAAUAUUCGUAUCGACUGGCGUUGAGCGUGUCGAGAUGGAAAUGUCGUCGAAAUGAAAAAAAAAUCGGAAUUCUAUAUUGAACGAUAUACUUCAAAUAUAAUAUGUUCAAUGCGUCAUAAUCACAAUCUACAAUGUUCACGAGUAUCAAAAAUAUCUGAUUAAUAACAUCAGGAAUAUUCGAGAGAAUAGAAAAAACAAGCGAUCCAAUCCAAAAUAUUAAAUAACACUGUAUGAGUAUUGUACAUAGAAAUAAACAAGUAACGCAUCAAAACGCAUCAAUUUCAUCUUAUAUAAUCAAUUCACUGCUAAUAACUCAUAUAUGAGCGAGAAAAAGGCCACAACUGAUAAUGAUUAUUAGCACCAUGAAUAACUUUGCCAGUUUUCAGUAAGUUUACAUCAAAUUUGAUACACUCAUGUUUUUGUUGCUGAUUAUGAAUUCGGAAUUAAAU
rnacentral:misc_RNA from 1 species